AACAAAACACUUAUUCUGCCUGCCAUUCUCGCCUGGCUCGUCCCCUCUCUGGCCACACUGGCCUCCUACUCCGGCACACCAGGCUGGCUCCCACCCCAUGCCUGCUACGCUCUUGCCCCCACGGUACACACUCACACCCUCAGGGCUCUGUUCAGCUGUCACUUCAUCACACACCGGCCCCUCCACCUGUAGCUCUUCGUAGCCCUCACCAUAAUCUGUCGUACUGGUUGCUUUAGUGUCUAGUACCCACUAGAAAGUUCCAUGAGGUCAGGAAAACAAAGGCUUAGAAGUUGCCUGUACUGCUGUUACUGUUUCCUCCUCUUGCACUCUCUGGUUUUGUUCACCACCGCCAUCUCAAGCACCUGGGACACUGCCUGGCACACAGCAAGUUUUUAAUAGACCGUAGAAUGGAUGGAUGGAUGGAUGGAUGGAUGGAUGGAUGGAUGGAUGGAUGGAUGUUUCGGCCGACAGAUGAGCAAAGAGGCUGGAAACUGCCUCUGUGUCCAAAUAAGAAAAAGGUGACUAAAUUUGAGCCCACAGAAGAUGGUGAGGGUGGUAAGAGGCAGGGCCAGGGAGUUCCCUCAGGAGUGGAUAGGGGAAGGGUGUCUGGAAGGGCGUUUGUGUCUGUGAAUGCCAGCAGAAACUGUCUAGCCCUGAUCUGGCUGGACUUGAAGGGCACCCAGCCCAGCCCCCAGGGACCCCCACCUGGCCCUUUUNNNNNNNNNNNNNNNNNNNUUUUUAAUCUUCCUUCUUCUCUCUUCCCCUUGUUAGGCCUCUGGGAGAGGACAAAAGGGCACUGGAAUCCCCAUCAAAGGCCACCGACACAUGGGAGGCCAGUCCAGGGGCCCAGCACCCUUGAGGAUAACCCAUCCCUUUCUCCCAGCCUUCUCGUGUUUGCAGAGAACUUCCACGGCUACCAUUUGGUUUCACCCUCACAUCUUCCCUGCCAGAGAAGUCUAUUCUCCCCAUUUUACAGAAGACAAAAUGGAGGCUCAGAGAGGGGGAGUGAUUCUCUCAAGGUCAUAACAGCUAGUAAGAGGGGAAGCUGGGACUUUUCGGCCCAUUCUGCCAACCGCACUCUAUCCCAGCCUUGGCCAAGGUGCCUGAGCACCAAACACGGGGCUCUCAGGCAUAGCCGUUCCAUCCAUCCCUGGCUCAUUGUUCAGUGCCAGCUUAAGAUUGCUCCACAGCCCCCUCUUCCAGGAAGCCUUCUAGGACUGACACCCCCAAGGAAGUUCUGAAGAUGCUUCGAAGUAUAGAGCUCUGUACAGCCACUCCUUUCCCACCCUGGGCUGUUGAUCUGUCCGGUGGUCUGUUGGUUUGGCCCCCUCACGUCCCAGGACCUCUCGAGGGCAGUGCAGCCAUGCACAGGAGCGGAUGAUUCCCUAACAGUGCGGGAUCCACCCUGGGACUGUGGUGGCCUGGCAGGCUGGGGAGAGGGCCUCUCAUGCUGGAAGGAGCCCUGCCCACGGUUCGCUCAGCCAGGAGGGAAUCUGCACCCAAGAGCGUGGCUUCAGCGCCUGAGAAGAGCUUGGAGUCCAGCGCUGUCCACAUCACAACCGCUAGC
rnacentral:lncRNA from 1 species